UGAGCAACCUGCCCUUGACUCCGGAAUAACAGCUGGAAACAGCUGCUAAUACCGGAUAUGACCUCCGAUGGCAUCAUCUGGAGGUGGAAAGCUCCGGCGGUCAAGGAUGGGCUCGCGGCCUAUCAGCUUGUUGGUGAGGUAACGGCUCACCAAGGCUUCGACGGGUAGCCGGCCUGAGAGGGCGACCGGCCACACUGGGACUGAGAUACGGCCCAGAUCCUACGGG
rnacentral:rRNA from 1 species